rnacentral:misc_RNA from 1 species
GAUGAAGAACGCAGCGAAAUGCGAUAAGUAGUGUGAAUUGCAGAAUUCAGUGAAUCAUCGAAUCUUUGAACGCACAUUGCGCCCUUUGGUAUUCCAAAGGGCAUGCCUGUUCGAGCGUCAUUUGUACCCUCAAGCUUUGCUUGGUGUUGGGCGUCUUGUCUCUAGCUUUGCUGGAGACUCGCCCUAAAGUAAUUGGCAGCCGGCCUACUGGUUUCGGAGCGCAGCACAAGUCGCACUCUCUAUCAGCAAAGGUCUAGCAUCCAUUAAGCCUUUUUUUCAACUUUUGACCUCGGAUCAGGUAGGGAUACCCGCUGAACUUAAGCAUAUCAAUAAGCGGAGGA